GAUGAACGCUGGCGGCGUGCUUAACACAUGCAAGUCGAACGGAAAGGCCCAAGCUUGCUUGGGUACUCGAGUGGCGAACGGGUGAGUAACACGUGGGUGAUCUGCCCCGCACUUCGGGAUAAGCCUUGGAAACUGGGUCUAAUACCGGAUAGGACAGUGGUUUGGAUGCCAUUGUGGAAAGUUUUUUCGGUGUGGGAUGAGCUCGCGGCCUAUCAGCUUGUUGGUGGGGUAAUGGCCUACCAAGGCGUCGACGGGUAGCCGGCCUGUGAGGGUGUACGGCCACAUUGGGACUGAGAUAAGGCCCAGACUCCGACGGGAGGCAGCAGGGGGGAAGAUUGCACAAUGGGCGCAAGCCUGAUGAAGCGACGCCGCGUGGGGGAUGACGGCCUUCGGGUUGUAGACUCCUUUCGCUAGGGACGAAGCGUUAUGUGACGGUACCUAGAGAAGAAGCACCGGCUAACUACGUG
rnacentral:rRNA from 1 species